rnacentral:rRNA from 1 species
AUUUUAGCGGCGGACGGGUGAGUAACGUGUGGGUAACCUGCCUUAUACUGUGGAAGGGUCAGUGAGAAAUGCGUGACUAAUACCGCAUGUCAUCCUUUUAUCGCAUGAUGAGAGGAGAAAAGGAUUUAUUCGGCGAGUAAGAUGGACCCGCAUCUGAUUAGCUAGUUGGUGAGAUAAUAG